rnacentral:lncRNA from 1 species
GGCGAGGUGAGGCGGGGCCGAGGGCGGGGCUGAGGGGCGGGCUUGGAGGACUGAACGGGGGUGCGGAUAGAAGAGGAGGAGACUGAGGCGGGGGGGGAGGGGCUGAAGCCGUCUCUGGCGGAGAGUGUGCGUCAUGACGUCAUGGCGCAGAAUACUUAUAUACAGGCGCCUGGUCGCCAUCUCGGUCUUUCGUGGCUGCGAGCCGGUUGUUCCCCGUUUUUGUAUGCUGCUAAGAAACGCGGCAGGCAUGACUCCAGUGUGGAUUUUGAUGGCUUCUGGUGGGCAGUUGUGUACCAGAAGGAUGACAACUACUGCUGUGGUGAGUUACUGAAAUUCCCUUGCAAGGGAAAGUUAGGUUGAAAGUCCCCUGAAUGUGCCACAAUGAUGAGAGUUUAUUUGCUACUCUUGACUGUGAGGAUGACGAGAAUUAUUACCACCAUUAUUCUAACUGAGGCACACGAAAUGGCUGUUCAGAGCGCGCAGAGAUUGCACCUACCUUGACAUGAAACUUUCUUCCCAGGUCUUAAAGCUCAAGCUUGAUGCUGUAUCUAUGAGCAGACAGGUGAGAAACCAUUUUUUAAUUACCAUGAAUUUUUUUCAAAAAGGGACUAGUGAGUGCCAGGCGGAUACUGGUGCUUAUAUUAGGAACUUCUCCCUUUUCAAAUGUUAAUCUUUGCGUCCUUUUAUUAUAAUGAAUACUAGGGGGAAUCUGAAGAAACAGAUACUGUGAUGGUUGCAUAGUUCAACAGAUACGAAUCAUGAAAGAGAAACCAUUUUAUCUGAUGUAUCUGAUUUAGUAAAACUUGCUGAUAGUAGAUGUAAACUACUACUACUGAUCUGGUUUCUCUUUGUUUGUAGCCAUUAAGCAGACUUGACUGGAAGUUGAAGAGGUAAGUAAAAUUUCCAGUGAACUAAACAUUGGUGACUGGGCAAACACGACAGAAUGCCACUAAUGAUUUUUGGGUUGCCUUCCAAUGCACAGGAAGCAGUCCUACCUUGAAAUGUUUGAAAAGUGUACUGAAAGCAUUAGAUAAAAGCCAGGUCCUUGUCCUUUCUUAAAAACAGCCUGUGUGAUGAUAAGCAAAUGCUGACUGAAUAUGAAGGUCUUAAUUAGCUCUAUCUGAUUUCAGGCAUUUAAAAAAUUUGUGGGGUGAAAAUUUGUCUUUGGCUAUUAGAAAACCACUCUUUUAUUUCUUAGGUGAACUUGAAUCCUUGACCUGUCAAAAGCAGUUGGCCUUUUUGGUGAGUAUUAAUGGCAAAAACAUUGUUAUAGAGACUGCUGAUGAAGUUGAAUGUUUAACUACCAAGCUAAUCUGCCUGGUUUGUAAUUGCAUGUCGAGCAUGGUAUGAAAAGGAUGGAGAGGGUUUUUGCAAUGAUGUUGAGCAAAUGUCUGACCUGAAAUUAGCAUGUUGACAAGUCUAACUCUGAAGAACCCUUUGACAAAACACUUGAGGAUUUAACAAUAAGAUUGACCUUUUAAUGAAAAGGUCUUUUUCCUUACAGAUGAUGGCUACAUGUUUUUUUCUAUGGAUGACUUCUUUGGGGUAAGACACGAAAACACUCACUACUGGCAUUUGGGCUUACAUUGUUUCUGAAAUGUGCUGGUCCAAGUAGUUGACGUUUGAUAGUGUUCUCUGAUGGACAAAUCAAUCUUGCCUAAUUAUUAAGCAAGGUACUGUUGGUGAUGAUUUUUAUAAUAAAACAGAUGGGAAUCUCUCUGAAAAAGAAUGA